rnacentral:lncRNA from 10 species
GCGGGUUCCAUGAACCCUAAGUCCUGUGGCCGCCACCUAUCUCAGGGCCGCGCAGACUCCCUAUGAAGGCUCAGAUUACUUCUUCUUCAUUGUACAUUUUUGUAAGUAAGUGGGGACCUAAGUUCCUGAUUCGGGCACCUGCUUCCCCAGGGCAGGAGAAUGAGCCCAGUGGAGCUCCCAUUGCUGAGCUAAUGACUCGUCACGCCAGCAUCUCCAGAAAUGUAGCAGGUGUAUGUCUGAAGUGACAUGAUGAAGAAAACACCAUCUUUUGAGCAAAUACUCAAUGCCUCAUCUUAAAGGCCAAGGGGGCAUUUUUCAGAGUACUCGAUGGGAAGACGACCUCUUAUCUCAGUGGCCAGUUUCAAGACCGGCUGUAGGGGCCACUAAGAAGGAUUUGUUAACAAAUGAAGAAAUGAAGCCUGACCUAACACAGACGGGGCCUCCCUCUGUGACUUCCUGCUCGCCAAACACAAAAGCAGACGGCUUUCACUGAUUUUACACCAUUUCUUUUUUGAGGGGGACUAAAGCUUGCUCUGUCGAGCCUUCCCCCAGGAACUGAAAGUAAGUGAAGCCCACAGUUAACGUCCGGGUGGGAGAUUUUCCCAGCAACGCGUCAUGGGCGCCAGGACCACCGAGGAGGCGCCGCUGCCUUGUGGAGUGCCCCCAGGAGGCUUUGACCCACUGCCCCCACUCAGCGCCCUCACACGGAGACCUCCACCCUCUAGCUGGCUUGCUGCCACCUCUGCCCGGCCUUCUGCACAUCCCUCUGUGACUCAGUCCUUCUUCACAAUCAGAUGUUGGUGUCAGUCUGCAUUUCUCAGGCUACACAUAGCAGUGGAAUUGGUGGGAUCCAGAGUCUGAGCACCUCCAGCUUCCAUGAGAGACGCUAAAACGAUUCCCACUGCAAAGGUGCUGGCCCGACAGGCUCAGAGUGUUCUUCUCCUCCACAUCCUCCCCAUCACUCAGUAUCACCAGCAUUCACUUAUUAGCCAUGGUGGGUGCAUGAUAACAAUGCAAAGAUUUUAUUUUACAUUUCUCUGAUGACUGAUGAGAUCAAAUACUACAUCUUCAUAAGUUAACUUGUUAUUUGGUUAACUUUUUAUUUAUGUGUUCAUGUGUGGUUUCAGUCUUCUCUUUUUUGAAGUCCCAUUUAUGACUGUCGCCAUUUUCAUUUUAGAUCAGGGUGUCUUCUCUUCACUGGCCUGCAGUUCUCCCUGUGGUUCCUUGCUGGCCUGCAGUUCUCUCUGUGGUCCACAUGUAAAUCCUUUGUUGGUU